GCGGACCAGCCCAUUCAGAUCUAUGAGAAAAUCGUCUCUGGCAAGGUCCGGUUCCCGUCUCACUUCAGCUCGGACCUGAAGGACCUGCUCCGGAACCUGCUGCAGGUGGACCUCACCAAACGCUUUGGCAACCUCAAGAACGGGGUCAAUGACAUCAAGAACCACAAGUGGUUUGCUACCACCGACUGGAUCGCCAUCUACCAGAGGAAGGUGGAAGCUCCUUUUAUACCAAAGUGCGAAGGCCCCAGUGACACAAGUAACUUCGACGACUACGAGGAAGAGGAGAUCCGGGUCUCGGUCACUGAGAAGUGCGCCAAGGAGUUUGCUGAGUUCUAGGGCCAGCGCCCCCCGGGAGGGGGCGCGCGGUGCAGGUGGGGGCGGGGUUGGAUUUUGGUUUAAUAGAUAAAUUAUAUAUUUUAUAAAUACAUGAGCACUGUCAGGAGCGGAGGGGGGGGGCCUGUGGCUAGCCCUCCCCCCAAAAUCCCCCUUUCCCACAAAGAAGCUUGAGAGUCCCAUCUAGAGGGUGGGGAUAUGAUCCGCCCCCUCCUCCCCCCGGGAAAGACGUCUGUGUCCUCCGACAAAACCUGUUUCACUGGAAAACAGAAAACAACCCUCCCCCACCAGCCUCCACUUCCUCUUUAACAGUGUGCUUUUUUGU